rnacentral:sRNA from 1 species
GUGGUUGUGCGAAUGCCUUUCUCCAAGGCCUGUUGCUUGGAGCCUGCUUGUUGUUCGGAGACUGCAGAACAUGCGCGUGGCAGUAGCUCACGCGCCUGGGAUGCAUGCACCGAAUCCCGGCCGUGCAAUCGGCAGCGGUGGUAGCACGCGAACUACAUUGCGGCGUCAGUUCUAUUGCGGGAGCUGGCUUCGCCCGUGCGUCGCCAUGCCACGCACGCCUG